AUGUGGUAUCUUUGUAGGGGAGUUGUGUUAACCAAAGACAACCUCGCAGGGUGCAACUAGCUGGGGAGUAAGAAGUGUUGUUUUUGUACGCAUGACGAGACAAUCAAACACAUCUUUUUCCAAUGCAAGUUUGCAUGUUCUACGUGCUCAGUCAUUCAAAUAGCGUCAAAUUUGUAUCCGCCCACAAGUGCCAAUAUGUUUGGUCAUUAG
rnacentral:rRNA from 1 species